AAUGAUUGAUAGGGACGGUUGUGGGUGCUAGUAUUCAGCGGCCAGAGGUGAAAUUCUCGGAUUCGCUGAAGACUAACUUAUGCGGUUGCAUUUACCAAGGUAUUCUUUCUUAAUCAAGAACGAAAGUUGGGGGAUCGCUUAACAAACGCAUCCGUGGUAGUCGCAUUCGUAUAAUAUGCCGACUAGGGAUGAGUGAACGUUGCAUUUUCGACUUCGUUCGCUCCUUAUGAGAAAUCAAAGUUUUCAGGCACCGGGGGGAGUAUGGUAGCCAGGCUAAAACUUAAAGGAACCUCGGAAGGGCACCACCAGGAUGUAUUCCUGCGGCUUAAUUUGACUCAACACGGGGAAACUUACCAGGUCCAGACACAGUAAGGAUUGGCAGCUUGAAGUUCUUUAUAGAUCCUGUGGGUGGUAGGGCAGGGCCGUUACUUAGUUGCAGGAACGCUUGGACUCGUGGACCCCCUUAAGCCGAGUUCCCCCGACCUC
rnacentral:rRNA from 1 species